GACGAACGCUGGCGGCGUGCCUAAUACAUGCAAGUCGAACGAGAGCGACCGGUGCUUGCACUGGUCAAUCUAGUGGCGAACGGGUGAGUAACACGUGGGUAACCUGCCCAUCAGAGGGGGAUAACAUUCGGAAACGGGUGCUAAAACCGCAUAGGUCUUCGAACCGCAUGGUUUGAAGAGGAAAAGAGGCGCAAGCUUCUGCUGAUGGAUGGACCCGCGGUGCAUUAGCUAGUUGGUGAGGUAACGGCUCACCAAGGCCGUGAUGCAUAGCCGACCUGAGAGGGUGAUCGGCCACAUUGGGACUGAGACACGGCCCAAACUCCUACGGGAGGCAGCAGUAGGGAAUCUUCCGCAAUGGACGCAAGUCUGACGGAGCAACGCCGCGUGAGUGAAGAAGGUUUUCGGAUCGUAAAACUCUGUUGUUAGAGAAGAAUAAGUGCUAGAGUAACUGUUAGCGCCUUGACGGUAUCUAACCAGAAAGCCACGGCUAACUACGUG
rnacentral:rRNA from 1 species